rnacentral:snRNA from 1 species
AGUCGUGUGUUAAGCACAAAGCGAACUAUUCUUUCGCCUUUUACUAAAGAAUACCGUGUGCUUGUCACUCUAAGCGACAUACGCCAAUUUUUUAAAGAGAUUUCUAAGGAAAUCU